rnacentral:misc_RNA from 1 species
UUUCCGUAGGUGAACCUGCGGAAGGAUCAUUAAUGAGUUGUCAUGGGGUUCGAUGCUGGCAGCCAAUUUUUGGAUGCAUGUGCUUGCCCUAACAAUCAUCUUCCAAACACCUGUGCACAUUUUUGAGGGAGUCUUGAGUUGGUUGCCGCUCUUGGGUGAUUUUCUCCCAUUCCCUUAAAUCAUUAUACGCUAUUAACAAUGUUGAACGUGCUCUGUGCCGCAAGGCUAUUAAUAUAAUACAACUUUUAACAACGGAUCUCUUGGCUCUC